AUUUCUGUUUUUAAAAAUCGGUCGUAACCUCACGGUUUCUGUACCAGGUUUCUUAAAUGCAUCCUCAGGGUUCUGAUAUCUGGUAUUAAUUUAUCGGAUUUUUGGUCCUUGUCAUUUACUGUGAGCAAAAUAGAGUGUUCAAAGCAGGGUUAGGGCAUGAAUACAUUAGCAUGGAAUAAUAAGAUAGGACCUUGGUCUAUUUUGUUGGUUUACAUUCCAAGGUAAUGAUUAAUAGGGAUAGUUGGGGGUAUUCGUAUUCAAUUGUCAGAGGUGAAAUUCUUGGAUUUAAGGAAGACGAACUACUGGGAAAGCAUUUACCAAGGAUGUUUUCAUUAAUCAAGAACGAAAGUUGGGGGAUCGAAGAUGAUUAGAUACUAUCGUAGUCUUAACCAUAAACUAUGCUGACUAGGGAUUGGUGGAAUAUAUCAAAGUUCUAUCAGCACUUUAUGAGAAAUUAAAGUUUUUGGGUUCUGGGGGGAGUAUGGUCGCAAGGGUGAAACUUAAAGAAAUUGACGGAAGGGGACUAUUAGGAGUGGAGCUUGGGGCUUAAUUUGACUUAACACGGGAAAACUUACCAGGUCCAGACAUAGUGAGGAUUGACAGAUUGAGAGCUCUUUCUUGAUUCUAUGGGUGGUGGUGCAUGGCCGUUCUUAGUUGGUGGAGUGAUUUGUCUGGUUAAUUCCCGUUAACGAACGAGACCCCCGCCUGGUAAAUAGUUAAUAGAAUACUAUGUAUUCUAUAUAACUUCUUAGAGGGACUUUCGGUGACUAAUCAAG
rnacentral:rRNA from 1 species